ACCACUACUCCAAACACUUGGGGAAACACAACUUUCUUUAAUCAUACUCCAGUCGCGUCACAAUGCAUUCUAAUAGCAGCAGAUUGGAACAGUACUGCACAUAUUACUUGCCAAAGAACAGACAUGACCUGAAGUCAAGACACCUGCAUUCUGUGUGGUCUGUAAAAAAAAAGCUAGAACAAAGAAGAACAUUCCCCCCAAAAUUGCCCAACACUAACUACAGACAACAAACAAGACUUUAUUUAAAUAAGGAGACAGCCUUCUAAAUACAUACAUUCUCUAGUGAAGUAUUUUAUUAAUUUGUAUAAUUUAAUGAUUUUAAGCACAAGUACAUUGGAGCACAUUUAAAUUUUAGCAAUAUGAACAUCUAAUUUUCAGCACAUAAUGAUCCCUUUCAUGGGGUCUUCAAGAUAAAGAUUCCUUAAUC
ensembl:processed_transcript